rnacentral:ribozyme from 13 species
UUCUCUUUCUCUUUCUCAUUCUCUUUCUCUUUCUCUUUCUCUUUCUCAAGAAGAGGGCGAAGACAAACAGUUCCACCAAUAACAGAAUACACAGGAAUUUGAAUUUCUUGUCCAGGGAGAAAGUGCAUCUCUCUCUCUUCUUCUCCUUGAAUAAAGAGAGAGAGAGGAAUUCGUGUCAAAUUUUUUGCAAUGAUUCUUGACCGAAUUUCAAUUGUUUGAUACCCAUCUCUAUAAAAA